rnacentral:sRNA from 1 species
UUGCCCCUCCCUCUUUCCUCUCUUGAGUCCCUUUUCUGAAAGUCUUACUAUCUUUUUACACACACACACACACACACACACACACACACACACACACACACGAGGGGUUGGGGAGAGAGAGAUAUUAGUGGCAAGGAAAGUUUCUGAGAACACAUAGACUCUGUUUACGCUAAACAUUUUGUUUCUAUGCUCUGCAAAGUCUCCACAUACAUACAUAGACACUGACUUGAUCAAAACCAUGCUGUUAGAAACAACUUGAACUGAGGUAAAUCCCAAGCAAAAUAACAUUUCCCUCCCCUCUGUGAAUGCUUUUGUGGCACACUAUAAAGGAGGAAUUAAGGUGUGACUGCAGUGGCAUUUUAAAUCUGUAUGGAAAUUUGAGCAAUAGAUAUGGCUCAAACAAAAACAUAAAAUUUACACAUGUCAAAAUCCUUUUGUACCCCUGAAUUUUACUUUAGUAGAGACCUGGAAAUGCUGUGACUGAACUCUAAUGUCUUCCUGGGUCCGAGUGCUAGGGAUUCUGACACUUUGGGGCUGACAGCUGUUAUCUGGACCUGGUUUUCAGGAAUCAGAUUCCUGCCCAGCAACACGGCUCUGCAGCUCCACACAGGCACAUGGAUGUGUGGCACAGGCCCUAGAGCACAGCAGGUAACUACCAAAUGGCAGCCAUUCAUGUGACAAGCUUUACUCUGUCCUGCAUGGGAAGAGGAAAAAUAUAGGAAGAGAGCAUCACUAAAACAAAUUUCCUGGAGGGGUUGCUGCUAAGACCAUGCCUUAAUGUUUAUUAAGUGAAACAUUAAAUCCUUAAAAAGCAGCUUCAUCAAAAGGUUUAGACUCUGCUGUGUUUUGGAGCAGAAAGAGUCAACCUGUUAAGGGAUAUCUAUCUCCCAGGCCAUCAGAAAAAUAUGAAUGAUUUCCUUGUAUUGUUUUGGAAGUCUGGACUUUGGAGAUGAAACCACAGUGAUGUAAGAUGAUCACAGAGUCGAUAUGUGUAUUUCAUUUCCAGAAAAAGAUACUUUGAAAGUGGUUAUAAGCAGUCACUGGGUUUGCAUCAGAUGAUAUAAAAGUGGUUUGGUUCCUUAUUUUUAUGUCUUUUAUGUGCAGACAUUGAACCACAAAUCAUAAUGUCUCUGUUGUGAACCUUUGAGAUCUGCUUACUGAAGUGAUUUUGAAUAUUCAGUAUAAUAUGUUAGACAUACUCACUGCUCUGUAUCCUCAAUCUUCAAAGCUUAUUUACCUUGUAUAACUGACCAUCACCUGUCUAUUCUCUUUCCUGUCUCCAGCUCUUAUUACAUUUUUCCCAGUUUUAUAAGUUCACCUAUUUUAAAUUCUGCAUGUGACAUCAUAUAGAAAUUGUCUUUCUGAGUUUGACUUAUUUCACUUAUCAUGAUAGCCUCUACAUCCACCCAGACUAUUGCAAGUGGCAGAAUUUUAUACACUUUAAAGGCUGCUUAAUAACUUACUACUAUAUACAUAGUUCCAAUUUUCCUCAUCUAUUUAUCCAUCUGAUAACAAACUUUGACUCUACGUUAUGUGAGAAAUGGAGACCGUGUGUGAGCAGAAGAGACACACGCACAUAUAUGUCUUCCAUCCCUUGACACUCCCUUGGCCUAAAGCCACAGAGAUGCACACAUGAUGCAUGGGAACUAACCGAAACCCAAUGGGAACACAAACACAAUGUCCCGUUUAUGAUGGAAUGGGGAGUUGAUAACCCUGAGAGGUAUGCUCUCCCUUAGAAUCAGAAAUGUCUCAAAAGUGAACGGUGGCACUCUAAGAAAUAUGAUAGCCACAAACCACCAGCAUGUUCCUCGCUGUUCUUGUGGCUUCUUCUCGUCAUAAGCUAACAACUUGAAAAACGUGACACAAGAGGGAGUCAAAAGCGGAGCUAUAUUGGGCAAGGCGACACACAUUUAGAACCAUAGCACUGGGGCAGGGAGAGUGGAGGGCCCCUGGAGCUAGUGGGCCAGAUGGUCGAGCCAAAGUGGCAAGCUCCAGGUUUGAUGAGCGAUCAUGUUUCAAAAAAUA